GUGGGGAAUAUUGGACAAUGGGCGAAAGCCUGAUCCAGCCAUGCCGCGUGUGUGAAGAAGGUCUUCGGAUUGUAAAGCACUUUAAGUUGGGAGGAAGGGCAGUAAGUUAAUACCUUGCUGUUUUGACGUUACCGACAGAAUAAGCACCGGCUAACUUCGUGCCAGCAGCCGCGGUAAUACGAAGGGUGCAAGCGUUAAUCGGAAUUACUGGUCGUAAAGCGCGCGUAGGUGGUUUUGUAAGUUGGAGGUGAAAUCCCCGGGCUCAACCUGGGAACUGCCUCCAAAACUGCGUGGCUAGAGUACGGUAGAGGGUAGUGGAAUUUCCUGUGUAGCGGUGAAAUGCGUAGAUAUAGGAAGGAACACCAGUGGCGAAGGCGACUACCUGGACUGAUACUGACACUGAGGUGCGAAAGCGUGGGGAGCAAACAGGAUUAGAAACCCGUGUAGUCC
rnacentral:rRNA from 1 species